AGAUCUAUUCACCUAUCCAUCAGUUCCACCAUGUCUCUUGCUGCGCUCUGCCACACAAUUUGCCAUAUUCUUGUACUGUUUCGUGCUGUCGUUGUGCUGUACUACGGAAUCUAUCGUAAUGCGCAAAACCCCAGCCCCGAUCAACGCAGACUCCCAUUAACGGCGAACGAGAGUGUCGAUGAGCUGUAAAUGACGAUCGAAACGACAUAAAUGCAGACGCGCUAUAAAACCUCAGCCUCAAAAACCGCACCUUGCAGGCAAAAGGCCCCCGAAGGCACACAUAAAACCGGGGUCCCAAAGCCCGCGUAAUAGGGAUUAUGUUACACAUACGCUUGCACACAGAGGGCCCCAAAAUGUCAAAGUUACACGCGUGUGGAGUGUCUCCAUGGCGCUAUCUCCGUGACCAACUUCCCAGCGAAAAGCCACCAACCCCCAGCAGGUGAAUUUAAAAAAAAGGGAAAACUGAGCCGCUUCAACAAAACAAGUGCUGCGAUGGUUCGUUGGCUGCCCUUUUUUUCCGUACCCAAAUGCACCUUUAGCUGCCGGACAAUGGCUAAUUUAUUUCAACCUAAACGCUCUGCUCUGCUCGUAAAUUUGUUUAAUAGCGUUAAUUAAGGUGAAAUAAAAUAUUAGUUAAUUUCAGCUCUA